rnacentral:rRNA from 1 species
AACGGCCGUACCAUGCUGAAUAUACCGGUUCUCGUUAGAUAACCGAAGUCAAGCAUCAUUGGGCGCGGUCAGUACCUGGGUGGGUGACCACCUGGGAACAUCGCGUGCCGUU